rnacentral:lncRNA from 1 species
UGUAGUUAUUAGUUUCUUUUUGUUUGUGAGUUGCCAAUCUUCAGACAAGUGUAACAAUGGUCAAAUAGUAAGGCAUGACCUUGUUUGUGCAGUACAAGUUGCAUGAACUAUGAGGCUUACGCACAUGCAUUUGGAAGGGUCAUUUUUCUGACAUUAGCUUAAUAAUUUUUAAACAAAUGCUUCUACCUAAUAAGGUGUUAUUGAGAUGGGUAAUUUAUACUUGUGAAAUUUGAAGAAGUAUUUUAAACUGAUGGCUUUCAAGUAUUGGUGCAGAUAUAGUAGUUUUGAGAGAAAUUUAUAAUUUGUAAAAGAUCAAAAUCCAAACAUUGUUACGAUCGUGUAAGGAUUAUGGAAUAUAAUUGAGAAUGAAUAAGCCAAUAAAACAAAUAAUAAGCCAAUAUUAUUUUGCCUAUAACUUGAUAUGGCUUUAGCUUUAGGUUUUUGUCUACCAAUACAUGCGUACUAAGGAUCUCCAGAGCCACUCCCUUCUUAAGCUUAUAUUAAGGCCAGAAAAAACAAACAAGCCCUUGGAUUAUUUUCAUUCCCUGUCUCCUCUUCUCCUUUGCCCCUCGCUGUCGUAAUUAUGUAAACCUCUUGUAAUAGUGUUCGGACACUUGUUUUAAUUCAUUUACAUCUGCAGCCAGUAAUUCAAUAUCUCUUCAUUCUCCAUGUGCCCACUGUCUAUCAUCUUCAUGCUCCACCUCAUAACCAGCACUGAAUUUUUUUCCUGAAAACUACUUCCUAACUCGAUUUAAAUCUCUAUAAGAUAUCCACAAGUCAUUUGAAUAACAUUUUGCUCCUUUAAUAUCAUCAACCUCCCACAACAAUCUAUCAUAUUGGAACUAUACAUACUCAUGCUUUCCAUAAAUAUUAACAAAGAUUUCCCGCGUCCACUCAGACCUGCAUACUUAAAAAAGCACUCCUCACUGCUAAAGAUGACGAAUCCAAUGUACAAACUUUAUCACUCUUGUUGUACAUCCAUGAAUCUGGAGUGGGCGUUCAUCUUUUUUAACUUUCUCCAAUCGCAAUGCAGCUCUCUCAAAAUGCCACGGUCGCUCUUGAAUCAACUUCUUCAUGUCCCUCACUCGUAAAAAAGAACAAUAUACUUCAUAUGACCAUGCUUCCAGAGCCUCGUGAUGUCAAUAAUGGUUUGUAUAUAUAGAAGUCCCACUAAGAAAGGCGACGGUUGUUGAUUAGGCACUCGGUGACCAUCCUCAGCAGCAAUUUCUAAAAAAUAGCUCAUUUCGUCCUUGUCAAACCUCAUGGAACUUUCAGCCAUCUCUAUCAAGAGCCAAAUAUCCUUGUACAACAGAAUAAUAUAAAAC